UUGGGCGUCACCUAUCACUGAGCGUCUCUCUCUUCUUGUCAUCCUUCCUCCCUUUGUAAUGGCAUGUGGGUUGUUCCAAGGGCUUGAGAUCAGAUCUUAGGUGUUCUUCUCUCUCCUCUUUGAACAAUAUGUUCAUCCUUUUCUUCUACAGAGUUUGGCGUGCAUGCGAAGUAGAGGAUCUGUGCAUCUGGAUCUUGCGAAGCAUGUUGAUUGAGGAGUUUCUUCAAUCUUGAUCCUUUUUCAUUGCAAAUCCAAGUGAGGAUUCAUAAAUAUUAUAAAAAAUUUGAAUUACUAAUCUAUUCUUUCCUUUUGGCAUCUGAUGCAGUUGGAUGAAUU
rnacentral:lncRNA from 1 species